rnacentral:rRNA from 1 species
UAGGGAAUCUUCCGCAAUGGACGAAAGUCUGACGGAGCAACGCCGCGUGAGCGAAGAAGGUCUUCGGAUUGUAAAGCUCUGUUGUUAGGGAAGAACAAGUACCGCAGUAACUGGCGGUACCUUGACGGUACCUAACGAGAAAGCCACGGCUAACUACGUGCCAGCAGCCGCGGUAAUUAA